GUGGAUAGAUGAUUGGGAUGUUUCUUCUCUUUUAUUUUCAGUUGCUAUUGAAUGCCAUCUCUGCACCAGAUGCUCUUCAGUAGCCCCUCCAUGGAGCUGUGGGCAUUUCCACUGUGUAUCAAUUUAAAGACCACAUUUCUGUUCAUCUAACACCAUUCUGGUAGACUUACAUCUCAUGCUGAAGGGGUGUAUUUCACAUUAGGCUACUUUGUCUUCAGAGAGGAUGUCACAGUGAAUCCACACAUCAGACCUUCUCUUUAUGCUUUUGAAAUAUGGCAGUGCAUACCAUCUCCUCCUCAAUUGCUGCAGAAGAUGUUGAUAGAUAUUUAUCACAUCUUGAGAUACAUGCUUGCUGUACCCAAGGUAACUUGGAGGUCAAUUCCACUUAAUUCUACAGUACAGCAGAAAGUGCAGCGAACUAAGCUUUGAAUGUCAACCUCACUUUUAGAGAGUAGGUAUGCAACUUUGAGCAAUGCUUGGCUUCCUAGACCAGUAAUUUUCCUACUUUGGCUCCCAGAAUUUAAGUAUUAAAAAUGUAUGACUACUGUGUUCAUUAGGUCAUGUGUACCUGUAUGAGGAUGGGCACCUGUGUGCUGCCGUGUACAUGUGAAGGUCCAAGAACAACUUUUAGGAGCCAGUUCUCUACGUCCACUGUGGAUUCCAAGAAGAACUGAGCACAGGUCAUCUGGUUUACUCCACUAGUGCUUUCAUUUGAUUAAAUAUCUCAUAGAUAUCCUCACAAGAUCUUUAAUCAUCU
rnacentral:lncRNA from 1 species